rnacentral:lncRNA from 1 species
GGGUCUCCUUCUUUCUGCCUAGGUGCCUGUCUGUCUUCUGCUACACUUCAUCCUGCCAAUACUGUUUACAGAGAGAAACCUCCAGGCCAAUGCCAAGCUGCCUUUAGUCCUACCCAACUCCCCGAGCCUCCUGUCCUCACUGGUGCCAAAGAACUAGAGAAAACUGAGGUUGCGGAGGGCUGCUCUUCCAAAAUAACCACAACUGUCAGCACGCCAGGAAUCAACAUUAUCUUCUUCUUCUGUGGAAGUAUCUUUAUUUGUUUCAAAGGCAAUUUUAUUCAUUUCUAUCUAAUGCUAUAUAAGGUAAGUGGGAGAAACUCAUUAACUCGAAGCAUAUCAUUUUCAUCUACUGCAAAUAAGCUGAUCAUACAGUGCUCUUUGCACACAGCUUUGAAGUUUGGCUCUGACUUUAGGAUGUUUAGCAGUGUUUUCCCACAGUCACCCAGAGAGAACUUACAGAAGGGGUCAUAGCUCAGACACUAUAAAAGAAAACCGUCCUGUGAGAAGUAAGUAAUACCAACCUUUUGUCAACUCCCUUCUUUUACAUACUUUAACCCACAUAUGUUACAGUUUUGCUUUUGUGCACAGCUGUAUAACUGCCUGUCUUUGUAGAGAUAAGAAUAAUUGACCUCAGAGAGUCACCCUGUAUUAGGCUUGAUAAAUAUUGAGGGGAAAUUGAUUUUUCUUUCUAAUUGCAUUUUAGCUUUUGGGGUACCUGUGAAUAACAUGCAAGAUUGUUGCAAAGGUACACCCGUGGCAGUGUGAUUUGCUGCCUUCCUUCUCAUCACCUGUAUCUGGCAUUUCUCUCCAUGCUAUCUUUCCUUAACUCCCCAACCCCUGAUGUCCCUCCUCUUCCCCCAGACAGACCACAGUGUGUGAUGCUCCUUUCCCUGUGUCCACGUUUCCUCAUUGUCCAACACCUGCCUAUGAGUGAGAACAUGCAGUGUUUUAUUUUUUGUUCUUGUGUCAGUUUGCUGAGAAUGAUGGUUUUCAGGUUCACCCAUGUGCAACGCAGGACACAAAGUAGUUUUAAUUGAAUUUAGAGUAUGUUUCACUUAAUAGCUUAAAAUUCUGGACACUUAUUAUUUUGAGACAGAGUCUUACAUUGUCAUUGGGCUGGUGUGCAGUGGCAAUCUUGGCUCACUGCAACUUCUGCCCCCCAGAUUUAGCAAUUCUUCUUCCUCAGCCACCUGAGUAGCUGGGAUAGAAGGGCCUGUCACGACUCCCAGCUAAUUUUUUGUAUUUUUAGUAGAGACAGAAUUGCAUUAUGUUAGCCAGGCUUGUCUUGAACUCCUGACCUUGUGAUUUGCUUGCCUUGGCCUCCAAGGUGCUGGGAUUAUGG